UUUUCUCUAAUAUUAAAGCUAACAUCACAAAAUGUACUCUGCUGAACGAAAAUUUGUUAUGAUGUAGGUACGUUAGUAAGACAACACAUGCGGGUAUGGCGUCUUUUUAAAUAGUCUUGUUACAGCUUAUAUUAUAUUCAUAAUAUAAAUGGUUGCUGAUAAUAUGUAGUAUAUAGGUGCGACAAGUGUGUGUAUAAUAUUUAUUUUUUACACGUGACAAAAAAGUAGGUACCUACUACCUAAUAAAUCAUAUAUAGAUAAAACCAAUGAAUUGCGGACGAAAAGUCCCGUUUUAAAAAAAGUUGGACCUUAACUUCUACGACUGGCGCCAUAACAGCCGCGUUUACUAAUGCAAUCAUUCGCCGCAUCUGUGGUCCUGCGUAAUUGGCUAACAGGAUUGGAGAUGGAUAAUCUUUCAUUAAUCAUCAAAUUGAGUAAAAAGAAUUUAAUUGCUAGUUAAAAUAUAGAUUAGGCACAGUCGUACAGAUUAAUAUUUUUAACUAUUUUAUUAGUUUUUUCUUCAUUAGAAAAUACACUUUUGACGCAGAACUCCUAGCUUAGGUAAAAUAAGAAAAACGUACAACUAAAAUAUCAUAAAUUCAUAACGAUUCACACCGGGCCGGCGCUACCUUUUACGAAUCCCUGGGAAAAACUUAUUUACCUAACCAAUAACCAUCAUAGUCACCUAUAGCUAUAACUUAUACUGGUGACAUAGGUCAUAGGUGUAAUUAAAGGCACGAGGCCUUGGUAAAAUGCCCCGCUUUGCCUCCCUCAUCUAACACCGUCCCACAAGUAUGGAUCACUUAAGACUUGGAAUGAAAUUCUAGAAAGAGAUGUAUAAUGAAGAACAAUUUAAGCAUCACUGCCUUAGGGCUUGGAUCUUUUGUACCGGGCGUUGGAGUUGGCUAGAUGCCAAGACUUCGGGUCCACUAACAUUUUAUCCACCGAUAACCGCUGUUACAGUUAACCAGACAUCCAGCUACAUUAAGUCAUGUGCAAGUCAGUGCUGAAAACUCCGGAUUCAUAUUUUGAUACCAUUCUCUCCUGAAGCAUUUCCGCCGCUGUCAACUUAUGAAGGAUUCGGACACGCAGUGACCGUAGAAAAAGUGUAUUACCGGAUCCCGAUAACAACGGAGAUUUUAUUUUAAAGUCCAUUGUCCUUAAGCCAACUGGUGAGAGGAAGCUCAACGAAUAUGUAUUUUCUUCUAAAUAAUUUUUUGGUGAAUUACGUGAAAUCAGCGUGCAGAGUAAACACGGUGACGUCCACUUAACAUGCCAUAUUAUUAGUAUAUUAUCCUAACAGCUUUCACAUUCGACUGUUUAUUUAUGCAAAAAAUAAAUAUUUUUACGCAACUGGAAAUACUAUUAAAGCGUGCCGAUAUCUUCCUCGA